rnacentral:lncRNA from 1 species
UGGGAUUGGCCCAUAUGAGGGCAUUUUUACUUGUGGGGGCACCAAGAAAGUUAAAGAGUAUGAUUUAUGUGACAAUAGUGGCGAGUAUGUACGGUUGGAUUCUUUCCACCCAACAGAGAAGAUCAUGAGCAAAGGAGAAAAAUUACACGUGUCAAAAAAAAAUUUAAAGCAUAAGUUUUAUUAAAUAGAAUGGUUGAUUGUACAAACAAAACUCAACAAAGUGAGCAUAAACUCCUCCAAUGUUCCCCAAGAACACCUAAAAAUCACAUUAAACAGGUCCAAACCCGGAUCAAGCCCUAAUCGACCAAUGAGAAAGAGAAAAUGUCGGGGACCUAGAUGUGGUAAAAAAAAAACCACAUAACCUAACAAAAACAGAGCUCGCUAUUGGAGGGGACGCGAAACAACACACGACAUCAACCGGAAAGCAAAGGCAAAAAAACCUAAAGGGAACAACACCCGAAAACGACCCUAAACAGCACACGCUGGCCCGAAAUUUCACCACCUUCACUGUUGACCUUGAGCAACACUUCGGCAACCCAGAACCAUAGCGCCCAAAACAAGAACCAUAACGCCCCAAAACGAUCUAUGGCAAAGAACAUCUCCGCACCGGUUGCACCGUGCCUUCACCCAUUACUCCACUUGCAACACCUCACGAACAGAGCUGGAAGAAUCAUCAGAUCUGUCGUUAACACCAAAGUUGCAAAAAGGCAGAGGGGAAAAACAACAUUUACCACUCCGAAGCAUCAAUCUGAACAAAAACAUGGCGCAAGAAGUAUCAAACUAGCUUCAUAAAGGACCCUUUGUUGACAAAUGCGGAACACAGACCAGCCAUAAAAUUAGGAACCUGAAUCCUACGUGUCAAUUUGUUAGAUAGCUAUAUAAAUUUUUUACAAUCUAUUUAAUAUUUGAUUGGUUUUAAAAGGUGUAUGAUGAUCAAAUAAAUAUUGAUUUUUUUAGUUAACAACAUCAUUAUUAGUUUUUUUUUUUUUUUUUAAUUUUUUAAAUUUUCUAAAUCAAAUAGAUAUUGAUAUUUUAAAAAAUUUACAGCAUCAAUAUUUUUUUAUUUUGAUUUUCCCGAAAAAAUAUUUAUUGUAUAUAUUUGAUGUAAUUCACAUUUUAAUUCGAAAAAAAUUAAAAUCUUAAAAUUAAUAUUCUAUAUAAUUUUUAUAACAAUAUAAAAAGCACAAAAUUAUAUAAAUUUCGAAAUAUAUACAAAAUAAAAACGAAAUAGGAAAGAAAAACACAAUAAUUAUUUUUUUUAAGGAAAAAAACAUUAAUUAUCUCUCUAGCCAAUUAAGGAUAAAGAGAAUAAAUAAUAUGUCCAGUUCAAAAAAUAAUCAAUAAUAUGUCAAGAUAAUAUCAAGCUUAUUUUAGAAGAUGAUAUCAAGCUUGAAUAAAAUGAGCUACUGAUUAUAUCUAAUAUGCAGACAGAAAAUUACUUUCAGCGUCAAUAUUGACUCAAACUUGGAUGACUUGGAAUAAACACAAUAAUGUCAUACUUUAUGAUUUAUCUUUCACAAUUCUUAUUUGUGCUACUAUCACAUUCAUUUUUUUUAAGAUUAAUAUAUUGGUAAUUCCUUAUAUUUGUGAUUUGUGAUAUUGUCUUCAUAUUCACGAAGAAUGUGAAACGAGUUACUGUUGAUCUCAAUCAGGCUUAGAAGAUAAGUCUUUAUGUCCACUUUGUUUAGCAUUUCUGACUCUUCUAUUUCAUCCUUUGUUUAAUUUUUAAUAAUCAAGGUAUUAACUUACGUAUCAAAUACAAUAGAUAUAUUCUCCGUGCAACGCGCGGGUAAAAGAACACUAGUUCUUGAGAAAUCAAAAGGAGAAUAGGGAGAGGGAUAUGUUUCCCUAUAUGGCAAUGAAGUUGAUUAUACAAAGGAUGGUCAGAGAUUUAUAUUGACUUCUAACUUUUGUUUGUCCUUUUUUAUAUCUUUUGUUAAUUGUUGCUUGAAUCUUGAAUUUGUGAUGAGGUUUUACUAUGUAUUGAGCGUGUGUGUGACUCCACUACAUUUGUGUGACGAGCUGUAUGUGUGUGUUUAUUGGCCGCUUUGGUUUCCACCAUAACUCUUAAUGCCAUCGGUCAUAUUUUGUGACAAAUUUUAGCUUGCUGUUAGUAUCCGCCCCAUUAAUAACAUUGGAUCCCCAGAAUGCGAUUAGAAAAUCAGGGAUCAAAAUUGUGGAAUUACUAAACUAUGGAGCCUUAAUUACAUUUAAGCUAAAUCUUCCUUACAAUUAUCAGUCACGACUAUCCAAUUGAGGGUUUAUAAUAUGGCCAAAUUACAAGUAAAGAAAAAAUAAGAAUACAAAAUUUGUAAAAUAAAUAUGGGAUCAAAAAGCUUGGAAUUACAAAAGUAAUUUUUUUUAUUAAGCCAAAUCUAAUACUAUAAACUAGGGAUGUAAUCGGACCGAAUUAGUUCGGAUUUAGAAUGUUUAAAUGUUCGAACCAAUCAAGCAUGUUCGGUUUGGGUUGAUUCGGAUUUCCUAAUUUUUUUAUUUUGGACCCGAGCCGAAUCAACCCGAUCAAGAUCGGAUUGGUUUUGUUCGGAUGGUCGGAUUCAGAAUAAAUAAAAAAUAUUAUUUUGAAAUUUGCACGAAAUGUAUUCUAAAAACGUGAAAGAUUAUAAAAAAAAUGAAAUUUUCAUAUAAUCCAACAUAUCCAAAAGAACAAUAUUUCAUGAUAACAUAAUUCAUAUAAUCCAACAUAAAAACUAAAACCAACAUCUCCAAUAUAAAUACUUUAACUUGGGUUUGUACUCCCAAAGUUUUCAUUAACACAAUAUAUGCAGUCAAAUGUGAAAUAGUAGUGAACAUGUUUUCAUAUCUCUUCAAAUUUAAAUUAUAUAAUGGGGUGAGGUCUUUGGGGCGAAGUAAAAAAACAAAAAAACACAAUCAUUGGGUUGGUUCGGAUUUAUCGGUUUUUCAAUCCCUGAAUCCUAUAUCCAAACUGAUGUUGAGCAGAUGCAAUUAAAAAAAUCUGAACCGAACCAAUGAUCCAAUGUAACCCACUAUAAUGUGUUCGAUUCGGAUCGAAUUCGCGGAUCGGAUCGUACCCACUUACACCCCUACUAUAAACAACUUUCUCACACAUACCUACUAAAGAAAAAACAUAUUGGAAAAUCAUGCCAUAUCACAAUUUCUAUUUAUAAUUUAUAGAGAGAAGAAAACACACACAAUCACACAUUAAGAAAUAUGAUUGUUUUAUUGAAAUUACUUAUUUUUUUUAACAAGUCUUCACCAAUUUAAAAAGUAGUAAUGAGACUAAUCUCUCGAAACUCUAAAAUCACAUUAAGUGAAUUAACCAUUCUCAGCAAAUGUUUAUCCAUAUGCACCGCCCAAUAAUCGAAUCAUGGACUAAAUGUUUAAAAUGCUAAACCAUCUACCACCUAUAAUUUGUUACCUAUUUUAACUUGUAAAUAGUAAAAAAAUUGAUGAACAUAUAUAAAAAUAAUCAAAUAGAAAUACACGAUAUGAUAUUCAAUCUCCCACGUGAAAAAGAAAGUUGAGAUUUGCAAUCUUGUGACAAAACAAAACCAUUUUAUCAUCAUCAUCAUUAUUAUUUCAUUAUAUAAAUAUAAACGAGUGUCUUUUUCUUGCAUCAUCCAUCACUCUCUCUUCCCAAUCAAUAAUUAGCCUCCACCGUCAUCUUCAUUCAUUCCCAACAAUGGCUUCAUCACGCGUGGAUCUCGACGGCAACCCCAUCGCGCCGCUCACAAUCUGCAUGAUCGGCGCCGGCGGCUUCAUCGGCUCCCACCUCUGCGAGAAGCUCAUGUCCGAAACCCCUCACAAGGUUCUCGCCUUGGAUGUCUACAGCGACAAGAUCAAGCACCUCUUGGAACCCGACAACCUCCCUUGGCAUGGCCGCAUCCACUUCCACCGCCUCAACAUCAAACACGAUUCCAGGCUCGAGGGUCUCAUCAAAAUGGCAGAUCUGGUAACCCCAGAUCAUCAAAAUCAAUUCUUUUUUCUGGGUUUCUUUGUAUUCGCAUUUCGGUCCUUAAACUUUAAUCAAUCUUUGUUUUCAGACCAUUAAUCUCGCUGCUAUUUGUACACCUGCUGAUUACAACACCAGACCCCUUGAUACCAUUUACAGUAAUUUCAUUGAUGCUCUUCCUGUGGUAUGUGUUCUUCUGAGAUUUCAUGUCAAUCUUCUUUGUGCAUGUUGUUCUUCUGUUGGGGUGCAUGAUUUGAUUUUGAUCUUCAUCUUGUGUUUGCAGGUGAAGUAUUGUUCUGAGAAUAACAAGAGGCUUAUCCAUUUCUCUACUUGUGAAGUGUAUGGGAAAACGAUUGGAAGCUUUCUCCCCAAAGAUAGUCCUCUUCGUCAGGUACCCUUUCUUUUUCAUCUUUGCUACUAUUUUGAUUCUUUAGCCAAAAUCAAUUAUGGGAAGAAGCUUUUCUGUGUGUUCUUCCUUCUAGUUUCUGGUGUCAAAAUUGAUUAUUAGAUAAAAUAAGUUGAUCUUGGAAAGUAGCUUUUGUGUAUGAUAAUUGAUUAUGAGAGAAAGAAAAAAAGCUGAUCCAAUCAUCUUAUUAUUAUAUGUUUUCUUUGGAGGUAGUUUGUUCCAGAUCCGUGCUUCAUGAGUUAUGUAUGCUUUUGUGUUUGCAUAAUUUGGAAUUUGUCGGUGGUAUCCUUAAUCAAGCUUACAAGGUUGUGGGACCAAGCAACUAAUCUUAGGUUUUGGCUAUUGUUUUUUAUUUUGACCAAUGAUUACAAAAAGGACAUCUUCUUUUCAACCUGAAAGAUUUGAAAUAUGUCGGUGAUAGUCCAAUCCUACCUCUGAAUUGAACUCAUGAGCUCAUUUGACCAAGUUGUAACAAGCAACAUGGCUUAGGCUUUAGUUGGUGUGCUUUAUUUUUCACUGAUAAUUAUGAAAAUGACAUCUUGUUAUUUGUAUUUGUUUUGAAAGAUUUGCAUAGAAAUUAUUUUCCCCCCUAAUGUUUUGUGGAAAUUGAAAUUAGAAUCAGAAAACAUAUUAUCAAACUGUGCAAUUAGAUUGUGAAUUGUGAUUACCUUCUCAUAAGAUGUUGACUUGGUACAUUUUUCAUAAGAUGUCUUGUUAGUUAUAACUUAUAGGAGAUUGACAUGCUGUGAAUUGUCAUAACUCAUAACUUAUAUUCUUCUUCCUGCUCUAGGAUCGAAUUUUAAGUUUCCUCUCAAGGUAGUAGUAAGAAAUAAAAUGCUGGACUUUUUCAGUCAAUUUUCAUUAUCUGUUUUUUCAGCUUUUGUAGUAGGAGUGCGGGUUGCUUGUCUUGUUUACUUCUUGCUAUGAGCUGAACUACAUUGUUUUCGAUGUUUUGUUAGGAUCCUGCAUACUAUGUUCUUAAAGAAGAUGAGUCUCCUUGCAUUUUUGGUUCAAUCGAAAAGCAAAGGUGGUCAUAUGCUUGUGCUAAACAGUUGAUUGAGAGGCUGAUUUAUGGUGAGUGAGCUGUUUUUUUUUUUCUCUUUUCCUUUGUUUUUCAAUAUUGACUAGUCUCACUGACAUGUGAUCGUUGACAGCUGAGGGUGCUGAAAAUAACAUGGAGUUCACGAUUGUGAGGCCAUUCAAUUGGAUUGGACCUAGAAUGGACUUCAUUCCUGGUAUUGAUGGUCCAAGUGAGGGUGUUCCUCGUGUUUUGGCAUGUUUUAGCAAUGUUAGUUACUUCUUGCUUUAGCUUUUGUUGAAGUUUGUAGAUAUUUUAGACAAAUUUUUAACAAUUUGUAUGAAAUUUUCCCUCUGCAGAAUCUUCUUAGAGGAGAGCCCCUCAAGCUUGUGGAUGGUGGCGAAUCCCAGAGAACCUUUGUUUAUAUCAAAGAUGCUAUUGAAGCUGUCUUAUUGAUGAUUGUAGGUUCUCAUAUCCAAUCUUUUACGUGCACUUUUUUGUAUUCAUCUUAAAUUACUAUUGUCAGUUGAGAUCCACUAAAUGUUAUGACCUGUUAACAGGAAAAUCCUGGCAGGGCUAAUGGCCACAUCUUUAAUGUGGGUAACCCACACAAUGAGGUUACUGUCAGGCAGCUUGCUGAAAUGAUGAUUCAGGUGAAAUAGUUGUUUUUUUAAAAUUAUUUUGCACGAAUAUUAGAAUGGUAGGCAUUGUUGCUUUGGGGAUUCAAGAAUUGUCAUGAUUCUACAGGUCUAUUCAAAGGUAAGCGGAGAACAAGCUCCUGAAACACCUACACUUGAUGUGAGCUCAAAGGAAUUUUACGGUGAGGGAUAUGAUGACAGUGACAAGAGAAUUCCUGACAUGACCAUAAUAAACAGGCAGCUCGGUAGGUUUCCUCAAUCACUCAUCCCAUUUGCUGCAUGUUUGCUUGACCCCAGAAUUGCGUUUUGGCUGGCAAAAGCUACUUUUUGUAUCUUUUACAAUACACGAUUCUCAUGACAGCUGCUAUUCUUAUAGAUCUUCAACAUCACAAUUCACAAGUUACUUUACAUACAUGUAUAAUGGUUGUUGCCUGUGACAGGAUGGAAUCCUAAGACAUCACUUUGGGACCUGCUUGAAUCCACCCUGACUUAUCAGCACAGGACAUAUGCUGAAGCCGUCAAGAAAGCCAUUGCAAAACCAAUUGCUAGUUAAGGCGGCUUAUAUGGUGAUGCUGAUGUGCUUCUUCCUUUGAGAAGGGUCUUCUUGCCUAGGUGUUCUCCCAUUUGGGGAUUUUACAUAUAUUUUACUGUUUGACUUUCAUAUCCAUGGUAAAUUUUCCUCCUUUUGUUUAUCAGUAGCUCAUAGGCAAUAGCCCACAUUAGCUCAUGCCUUGAUGAGUGAGUGCUCCUGCUGAAGUAGGAAUUUAUCUAGGGGGGAUUCUUUGCUGCCAUGUAAUUUCAAUGUAGAGCUUUUGCAGUGCUGAACAUGUUGAUGAGGCAUUUCAGAUAAGAAAUAUGUUUUUGUUUUUUAGAAUCUGGGUCAUUACUGUUUUGUCUUUCCAGCUCAGUGUAAGUUGUAACAUUCUGUAUGACCCUGUUAAGCCAUGUGCUCUAUAUUAUUUGUUAUUAAUUUAUUGUAUGAAGUUUCUUACAAUUUCCCCCCCUUUGUUGAGCUUUAUUCCAGCACCAAGGUGUCCAUCAAACUUUUUCUUGAUACCUGUUUAUUAUAAUUUGCGAGUUAGUUCCAGUUAUGCUUAUGGGGACCAUCACCGUCAAAGAUAAAAGAAGAAAAAAAAAACAUAGUAAUUGUUUAUCAGAGUGAUUCUCACUGCAUUCUUGUUUCGCUGCCAUUAAUUUGGUCAAACCAUGUUAAGAUUGGAAACUGGAGCAUUCUGUUUGGUUUGAAUACUGGUUGAGAAUUGCCAAUGUUGUUAAGAGUAGCUAAAUAUGUGUACCAGACAUUAAAAGAUGUUUGGUGGUUAAAUUUAGGCACAGAUGAGCGGUUUUGAGAGGAAAGGAAUAAAUUAUUUUGGACAUAAUGCUAUAAAAUCAAAUGUUACAAAAUAUAGCAUGCUUCCUCUCAAAUUCACAACCAAUAAAAUAUUAAACCAGAAAUAACCAUAGAAAUUCUAAGAAAAUCAUUCUCAAUCAACUUGAAAUCAAAAUUUAGCUUCUUAGAGCAACUCCAAUGGGAGUUGCUUAGCAUGGUUGCUAAAACUAAGGAACGUUCUUUAUUUUUCUGCUCCAUUGGAGCUUGCUGAGGUGGCGUUGCUUAGAGCUCAAAGCUAAGCAACGAUCCUUAGCUAAGCAACGCUCCUUAGCUUGCUGAGGGCAGUAAAAAAUGGUUUUUUCUCUUUCCAUUCAGCAACAGAAAAUCGUUAAAAGGGGAGGGAAGAACCGAUCAAUGGAUUAGCAGAAGCAACAAUACAAAGCAACCCAGAAAAGAGAUGAACACAGAUUAAACAAUUAAAAUACACAUUUUUGAAACAAAUCAAAAAAUUACACAAGGAUCUCCGAUCUGUAACCUUGCAUGUCCUCUGAAACUUGCAUGUCCUCCGAUCUCAACCGCCGAUCUCAACCGCAUGUCCUCCGAUUGUGUCUCUCACCGCAUGUCCUCCGAUCUGAAACUUGCAUGGGCUUCGAUUGAGAGUGAGAGAGAACGAGAGAGAGCGAGAGAGAGCAGCAUGGGUGAUCUGGGUUUCAGCAACAUCUGGGCUUCGAUUGAGUGAGGGGAAGCUUCGAUUGAGUGAGAGGGAGCAAGAAAGAAAGAGGGUUGAGAGGGUUGAGUGUGUGAGGAAGCUUCGAGAAAGUGGGUUGAGAGGGUUUCAGAGAAUUUGGGUUUCAUGGUCAAGAGUGGAGAAGCUUCGAGAAUGAGAGGGUGAUGUCGUUUUGGCCUUUUGGGUGAGUGAGAAUGAGAGGGUGAUGUCGUUUCAGAGAAAGAGUGCUGUCGUUUUGGCACCAGUUAUUUGAGUUCACGCAUGUAUUGUUACUAGAAAAGCCAAUAGUUAAAAGCCAAUUUUUAUUAUGUUUCUUAUUAUUGUUUUUAAAAUGUAAUCUGCUAACUUGCACGAGCUGGAACAUGUUGAUAAACUAGGAGUACUUGUUUGGAAUUAAAUAGCAUUGGUUGGCCAACAAGAAAAAUAAAAGUAGUUGGUAGUUAUUGAUUUUCAUUAAAGAGCAUUUGUUGGCCAACAAGAAAAAUAAAUGUAAUUGGUUGGAGCACUUGUAAUGCAAUUUUAAAUUUGUUUGAAUUUUGUUUAAACUUGUAAUGCAACAAGAAAAAUAAUGUAAUGCAUUUUGUUUGAAUUUUGUUUUAAAUAUCAUGUCCAAUUUUAAAUAUAUUUAUAUUGUUAUAAAUAUUAAUUAAUAUUUAAAUUUAAGUCAUGCUUAGUUGGAAAUAAAAAAUAUAAACAUAUGAGGUACAGUGGGGUCCAACUAAAAGUAAAAUAAGCAACCAUGCACUGGAGUGAAUUCUGCAUGGGUUCCUUAUGAGUUGCUUAAAUCCUAUGUGGCAGUCUGGGCCCACCAGAAUAGCAUUUAAGCAACCCAUUAAGCAACCAUGCAUUGGAGAUGCUCUUAUAUGCUGUCCAGUUUGCUUUUUUCUUCACUAUUCGGCUGAGCUGAAGCUGCAGUAAUAAGAUAACUACGCUUACAAUUAGCAGUAAAUUUGCUUCCAAAUGCCAUAACAGACCACUUAACAUGACAUGAUUUAAGACAAUAAGCUUCAUGUGGGGUCAUUUAGCAAAGUUUUAGUACAAAGCCAAAAGGUGCACAUUUUCUUUUUUGCAUUACCAAAAGAGGCUAAAGAAGAAAGAAAGCUUGGAGACGUAAAUGAUUUCCACUCCCUAUCAGUAUCACCUGUCACUGCUCAACUUAGUAAACAAUGCUAUCCUCAGCUGGCGUGUGAUGUUUUGCUAUGGACAUUAUUAUUCAUGCAUUCUAGUAUCAUACUAACUAAAGAUGCUCUUUCACUUUCUACUCAAGACAGACAUAACAUUUUUUGUUACUUGUAUAACACGACCUUCCUUGCUGUAUCCCUUUUGUCCCAUAAAACCAUACAAUUUUUUCUAGGAAUAAUUUCAGUUUCGCGUAUAAUUUUGUACGCAAAUUUCGUGGCGGUUUCAAACUAUUAUAAUUGUGUUUUUGAGAUCACUUUGUGGUAGUCGAAGACCAGCAUAAAAGUAAGUGUUGGAUGGUGUCACAUCUUCUAAGGUUUAAGCAUGGUAAUCCUUUUUUCUAUUUGAAUGUUUUUAGGAAGUUCAAAUUUCUAUUGAUUUCACUUCCUAUAAUAUACUAUUAUCAACUUAUUCUCUUCUACUAAUUAAAAUUUAUGCAAGUUCUAUUAAAUUAAAAGAGAACCCACAUAAUUUAGUACAUCCAACAUCAACUUGAACAUGUUAGAAUGUAUGUGACAUAACCUUUCUAAUCCCUCAAACAUGUUAGAAUGUCUCCUUUUUUUACUCUAUUGUGUGGGUGGGUGGGUGGCACAAUGUAUUUGAGUGAUAAUUAUUCUAUUCUUGCAUCAUUUUAGAAUACAUUAGUCAUGAAUUUUUUUCAUUUUGAUGGAAACAUUUACAAUUCCUAGCAUAGUUGAGGAGAUUUCAGAUAAAAAGGAUUACUAUUAAAUAAAUUAUUUCAGCAGCAUCUAUCAAAAACGACGCUUUGGCCGAGUGGUUAAGGCGUGUGCCUGCUAAGUACAUGGGGUUUCCCCGCGAGAGUUCGAAUCUCUCAGGCGUCGUUUUCUUUUUGUUUUUAAUAAUUUUUUUGUUUCUUUUUUUUGACGUUGAAUAUUAAUGGAUACUAAUUAUUAAUUAAGAAGCAUUUUGAGUUUUGACAACAGAGCCGCUAAUUUUGCUUCAUGUCAGAUUACCCAGGUUGUCGUGCAACAUUUGCCGACAUUUAAACGCAUCUAUGACAGUUUGAAGCGGAUUAAAUUUUUCUGUCUUAAUUUAUUUUAUUUUUAUUGAGUACGUAGUAUAUAAAUCUUAAAAGUAUAUACAUAUUCAAUACAAUCAUAGAAGAGUGUGUUGGUAACAUUUGCCUAUAAAAAAAAUAAAAAUAUAAAACACUUGUGAGAGAUUAAUAUAUAUAUAUUUUGUUCAGUAAGUAUAAAAUUCUUAUAAAAGGAGUUGCCCCAACUUUUUGUGAACGAAUUUGUCUCCGAUUAUGAGGAAUAUAGGAGAUACCAUAAUACAUAUUUAAUAUAAUGAUAAAUAAUUUAUGGUAUUUAAAAAAGUUCAUAAAUUAUGACAUAACAAAUAUUUUAAGAAAUUAUGAUUAUAUUUGUUCCGUUUGACACUUAAUUCUUCAAAUAAUUACUUUUCUAUUUCGUAACUAAUGUAUCAUCACAGCUGACGGCGGUUGUGAGAUUAAUCUCCCGCCUCACAGUCACCGCACUAAGCAAUAGGGUCUGACCAAGAAGGUUUUUCUUCAUUCACAACUCACAAGAGUUAGGAUUUGAAGCAUCAACCACUUGCUUAAGGGAUGAAGCGAACUUACACUUAUUGACCAAAAAAAAACUUACCCUUAAAACUUCACCUAUUCAAGUAUGAAUAUUUUUUUUGGUUACAAGAGGAAAAUAUUCAAGUAUGAAUAUAUGAUAUAUGUAUAAAUAAAUGGGAUGUAUCAUAUGAGAAAAUGAGAAUAUAUAUAUAUAUAUAUAUAUAUAUAUAUAUAUAUAUAUAUAAUUCUUAUGGAAGCAGUUGCCCCCAACUACUUGUGAACGAAUUUGUCUCUGAUUAUGAGGAAUACAAGAGAUACCAACAAAAAAGUACAACCAUACAAUCAAGCAAUAAGAAAUCAUGGAGGAGGACGAGAAGUGUGGGGAGAGUGGAAUAAGAAAUUGGAGGAGGAAAUAAGAACAAAAUUGUGACAUAGCUAUAAUCUAAAUAAGCGAUAAAUGUUGAAUCGGACAAAUUAACCCACCCUACCCCACUUCUAGCUCAUUGGGUUAAGUUAUGAUUCCAUUUUUGUAUGCUUUGUGUUUUUUUUUUCCACUAUUGCUCUUUGUAGUACUUUGGCCAUCCAAUUGCCCCCUCGUUAUCCUUGGUCCUGUCCUUGAUAUGGAAAUAUCCUCUGCCAAACUUGAGUUUUUGCCUGCAUUUUUGCCACAUUCAUGUUUACCUUGGCUACUCUUACCCAAAAAAAUGUUUACCUUGGCUACUUGUUGCUGGCAACCAGGGAUUUGGCUAGCGGGACGCUAGUCCUGUGGCUUUUCCACUGGGUUUAUCAAGAUGAACAACUGAAAUUGCAAACUUCUUCUUACAUACCUUUUUAUCAUGACCCAAGCUUCCACGUUGAUAAUACGAGUCUCCUAGUUAUUUAUAGUAAAGCUGAACCCAAACAUGAGGAAGGUUUUUUCUAAGGAUCCAAACUUAGUUAUCAAAGGGAUUGUUAAUAUCUGGAGUGCUACUAACACACUCUUUUAAAGACACAUUCUAACAAAUUAAUUGUGUUCGGUGAUUAAAGACAAUAUAUUUCUCUCAAAAAAAAAAUUAUUUGGUCUUUGACGAAUGUCGUCUCCUAUUCAGAACAUUUCUCACACUUAAAAAAUUAGUUGAUUUUAAAAAAAUUGAACCAAAUAACAUCCGAGUGUGUUGAAUGACAUUUAAAGAGUAUGUCACUAGUAUUUCACGUGUACACCCUCCGGUCACAUAUAUGAGCAAAAAAACACUUUUUAGGUUCAUUCAUUUAAUGAAUGUAUCUUGUUGUUUUAAUGAUUAGAUACAUUCAUUAAAUGAAUGAACCUAAAAAAGUGUUUUUUACUUAUAUAUGUGAUCGGAGGGUGUAGAUUUUUUCUAAGGAUCCAAAACCUAGUAAUUGAAGGCAUUGUUAAUAUGAGCAUUGCUUUCAACACAUAAUUUUUAAAGACACUCUGAUACACUCAUUGUAAUUGGUUUAUUUUUCAAAAGUCAACACAUUUAUCUUGUUUCUUAAAAAUUAUACUGAAUCUUCAAAAAAUGAACCAAUAACAAGAACAUAUUCGAGUGUGUCUUUAAAAAAGUAUGUUACUAGCAUUUCUCUCACUUCUUAAAAAAUGAAUUGAUUUUUCAAAAAAUGGACCAAUAACAUUGAGUGUGUUGGAGUGCCUUUCAUAGAGUAUGUUGCUAGCAUUUCUCUUGUUAUUAGUAUUAAUUAGAACUCUUACUCUAAAGAAGCUUCUCGUUAGAUUAGAACCUACAACAGGGUUUUCCACCGGAAGAACCGAGAACGUCCCCUAGCCUGCUACCUAUCUUAGUAAAAAGCCAUGCACUCGUAACCAAAAGGGAGGAGAGAUCAAAACUGACUUCUUAAAUCACUAAUUACAGGGUACAGAGUUGUAGGCAAAGAAGACUUCCGGGGACAUUCCAACUUCCAAGUAGCUUCCCCUGAUGACUUUGUUUAGGAACACCUCAUAAGUGAAACAAAAAAAAAAUAAUACUCAGACCCCGAUUCUACCUCACCUAGAGUGAGAGGUGAGGUAGAACUAUUAAGAGAGUGAAGUGAGAAAUGUGAUCGACGAUGUGAUGAGAACAAAACAAAAAGGAGAUAGGACGAAAAAACGAGUAAAUUGGGAUGGAAGGAAAAGUAAAUGUGAACAUAUCAAAAUAGAAAACGAAAAGGAAUUUGUUGACACCAAUAUCUGCAAUAGAAACUCCACUUGGUUCUUACUGAGGAUUUCCUCUAUAGUUAACAGUUUCUGCACUUGAGAGUUAGCGGCUUCUAUGAUCUCCAAACAGCAGAACUUCCCCUUCUAGUCAAGUAGCAGAGCUGUCUCCCUGCUCCAACUGUCCAUAGUGCUAAAACUAGCACCCAACAUAUAACAAACAAAAUACUACUAAAGUGCAAGCCUGUCUCAACACCACAAAGAUAUUCAGUUACAAUGAGCAAACUCCUCUGAAAAGGAAAGCGUGCGAUCUCAUACUAUGAUAGGGGAAGGCCUACUAGAGGACACUCACUUAAUAGCUCUUAACUCUAGGAGAGCAGAGAGCACCUCAGAGAAGAGAGAACUCCAACCCUUUGCAUAUGGAGUGAAUGAAGCUACUUGUAUAAAAAAAAUUGACCUUUUUAACCGGAAAAAAAAACACAAACCCAGGUAACAGCAAUGCCAAUUCUAGGUAGUCAAUUUCAAUUCAGCAAUAAAACUCCCCCAAAAAAUUCGAUAAUGUUAAGUUGCACACCAGUAACAUGACAAAAUCAGUAUCUCAUAAUAUUAAUGAUAAUCUAGUUCCUCGAGAAUAGCACUGUGAUCCUAUAGCGCUUUCACUAUGAGCGAAUAUGAAUGCAGUAUAGAAGCUUCAGUUUCAAUCGAGCAAAGCUUCUUAAUUUUGUCCUAACUUAAAAAAAGAAAAUUGUAAAAUUUGACCUAUACAAACAAUGGUUUCAGAUAAGCCUCAUGAAAAAUCAGCUUAUCUAUGGGAAAAACACUCCCAUUUGAGACUAGGUGUUAAAAUAACCUGAAUACCAUGACUCCCGAGCAUCAAUCAACCCAACGACUGCAGGCAGAAAAUCAUACCAUACUCCUUGAUUCUGAAAGGGGGUCCACCAGGCACCGAGGAUGGAACACGGUAUUCAUGUGAAUAGAGACCAUGAGACAGCAGAAGCCAGUUAACCUCAGAAAGUGCACAAUGGCAUGACACAUCAAUAAGCUAUUGCCAUUCCCGGCAUUCCCCACACCUCCAACUUCCAAGCCUAGAUGGAGAUUCAAGCCAAGGUGAACAUUGGCUGUGAACCAAAUAACCACAAAUUUCACAACAGAGAUCAGGGGCUGGUUCCAUUUGUGAACAUCUCCAACAACUAUAGUCAUUAUCUUGAGAGGGAUUUGCAGGUUCUCCAAUAUCGACUGAACUAAAACCUCCAAAAUCUUCAGGAACAAGGGUAGCAGAAUUUUCCAAAUAUCCUGACAAGUCUCCAGACACAUCAACUCCCUCAAACUGGCUACCAUCAUCUGGCAGCAACUCAUUGAAAGAGAAGUAGGUAUGGGGUUCAAAGUCCGUGCAAUCAUAAUUUACACUUUCAGAAGUGUUCAGUAGAUUGCUGUCGAAGUGCACAGCAGAGUCAUAUUCUAAAGGUGACAAAUCUGCAGGGUUGGAUAGAUUACCUGCUUCACUCUGUGUUGAGAAAUCAGCAUGUACAGGUAUGCCUCCAAAGGAACCAUCACCAUCACCAUCCCACUCACGCUUAACAUGCCUUCUCACUGGUAGUUUCUGAGGCCCUGGCUCAAAGAAAGUGUUCCUCUCAAUAUCCACAUCUAACUCAGGUUCUGUAACCAGCUCAACAUUUGGAAGAGAGAAAAGUAAAGGAUCAUUCUCCAUAGGAAAGACAGGAGUAGCAGGUUCAUACUCUUUCAUCUCAGAAAAUGUUGCAGAAUCAGAAUCUGCACCAGAAUAUUCUUUCUUUGUACCCCUUGAGCGUGACUUCUUAACCUCUUCGGUUUGAGGCUUGAAAUCAGAGUAAGGACAGACAGGUGAUUUUAUCCUGCGACACUUGCAACAUUUGAAACCAGACACACUAAGAAUUUUGGAUUCUUCAAGCUCAACAGCUUCAGUAUGAUACCAAUCUGUGAAAGCCAAAUACAGAGAUCAGAUAAAUCAUAAAUGUUAAUCACUCAAAAUUCAGUCAAUUAUUUAGUAAAGAAAAACUUACUUUCGCAUGUCUCACAUCGAAUAUACAUUAGAUCAGAUCUAUAUGCCUUUUUGCAUAAGUGACAAACUGGUCCGAGUUCAUCCACGCCUGAUUCACCCUUUAGAAGUAUGUUUUUUAUCCUAAAAUUCAUGUCUGUCUCUUCAUUAGGUUUCUUUUUCCAUAUAACACCCCAUGAACAAUUCUUGCGGGUUUUUGCUGUGGAAGUGGAAGAAGCAGCUUGUUUCAUUUCAGGAUCACUAUUUUUUGUCCUGGUAGAAUUCGGUGUUUGAUCAUGACCUUUAGGCCUUGGUCCCUUUAUCACUAAAGAAGAAACUUGUUUCACAUCAGAAUGACUACCCUUUGUCCUUGGUCCCUUUACCACUGCUACAGGAGUAACUUGUUUCACGUCAGGAUGACUACCCUUUGUCCUUGGUCCCUUUACCACUGCUACAGAAGUAACUUCUUUCACGUCCGGAUGUCUACCCUUUGUCCUUGGUCCCUUAAAAACACUGCCAGAGCUUUUUACUUGUCCUUGUAAGAGUAAAGGACUGGUAGGAGAUUCAUUACUAGUCGCUUUUAGAGCAAGUAAUUUGGCAUGGUAACAUCGUUUGCAUGUUGUCAAGUACUCAACUUCCUUGCUUGCAGAGGCUGAACUUACAGAACAGCCCUCAUGACAAUAACCUAAUGCCAACAAAGAACAAAAUAUUAAAACAAGAAAUGAACUAUGCACAUAGGCAACAUCCUUUCACACAUACCAAACAGCAUAUUAUAGUCUAGGAUUUUAAAUUUUGAAAAUCAAUACAAAGUAUUGCUCUUUUUUAAGUGUGUACUUGGGUCACUGACACUGAAUUGAUUAUUGAGAAAAUAAUACACAUAAAUUGUCAUCUAAAAAAGUUACAAGAGAUCUCUCACUUCAAGGUUAUCUAAGAAUCUUAGGAACAGCAUAACAUAGUAAUGUAAGGAUGAUGGGUCAUGUAUGGUGUAUACGUACCUUUACAAGCAUUACACUGGUAAGCAUUCCUGAAAUCGUGGCAGAUUAAUAUUAUGAUAUUGGAGAAAAUAGGUGUAAAGAGGAAAAGGGAAGGGGAAAAUGAGUUAAAGAGUAACAAGUCAGGGUAAUUACCGAAUUGAAAAAGUUGUACCACAUGCAGAACACGGGACCAUGUCCAUCUUCUCACUCUUGCAUGCAAGGUAAAAAAAUAUAUCCUUGCAGGGCCUUCUGUGCAACUGAGAUGCAUCAUUGCAGUACUCUUUAUCACAUACAACUUUUUCAUUAGCUGCUUCAUACUCUUUCACCAAAUAUAAAGGAAUGCGUGUCUCUGAAAACCAGUACUUCUCCUUUCCUUCUGUACAUUGCUCAAUUUCAACAAUACUUUUCAUCACCCGAGAAGGAAGAUGCUUUUGGCCCCCGAAAGCUAUUCCAUAACAACUUCUUCCCUCUACAAGUUUUUUGUCACAAAUAUUUGCAUUUCUGAAAGCAGAGGCUUCAGUAUCUUGACCUUUGCCCUCCUGAAUGUUCUGGUCUGGACGAAUCAGAUCACUCCAUCUGAGGUACAAAUCUAAAUAUCUGACCUGAUGCAAAUAACCAAAUACUACCAAGUCACAAGGUUUGCAAAGAUCCAAUAUGCUUGCAGCAAAAAAAGAAACAGAUGCAAGAAAUGAAACUCGUAAUAACAAACUAAAGGGAAC